rnacentral:rRNA from 1 species
AUGCACGCUGGCGGCGUGCCUAAUACAUGCAAGUCGAGCGCACAGAUGAGGAGCUUGCUCCUCUGACGUUAGCGGCGGACGGGUGAGUAACACGUGGAUAACCUACCUAUAAGACUGGGAUAACUUCGGGAAACCGGAGCUAAUACCGGAUAAUAUAUUGAACCGCAUGGUUCAAUAGUGAAAGACGGUUUUGCUGUCACUUAUAGAUGGAUCCGCGCCGCAUUAGCUAGUUGGUAAGGUAACGGCUUACCAAGGCAACGAUGCGUAGCCGACCUGAGAGGGUGAUCGGCCACACUGGAACUGAGACACGGUCCAGACUCCUACGGGAGGCAGCAGUAGGGAAUCUUCCGCAAUGGGCGAAAGCUUGACGGAGCAACGCCGCGUGAGUGAUGAAGGUCUUCGGAUCGUAAAACUCUGUUAUUAGGGAAGAACAAAUGUGUAAGUAACUAUGCACGUCUUGACGGUACCUAAUCAGAAAGCCACGGCUAACUACGUG